GUGAAUCAUCGAAUUUUUGAACGCAAAUUGCACUCUCCUCGGAGAGGAUGCCUGUUUGAGGGUCAGCCUAUAAAAAAUCGACAUCGUUGCUUUUUCGCGGUGGAGUUCGUCGGAAAUUAGGGCAUCUUAAAUCCUUUUGGUUUUUAAGCAACUUAAAAUUUUCUUUUUUGUUCCAUGAACGUUUCUGAGAUUUAUUUCUUUACACGUUUAAGGUAUCGAUUUUUAUUGGACGUUACCAUCAUAUCGGAUCGCGUACAUAAUCUUUCAUUAACUGACCUCAGACAGGUAAUAGUACCCG
rnacentral:misc_RNA from 1 species